GUUAUAAGAGUCUGCUGUGGUGGUGGUACGUAGGGCUACAAUUUUUAGACCCUCUGUAGUUUCGUUUCGUUUUUGGCUCUUCAGUUUCAGAAUGUCCUCCUUUCUGCGACCCAAUUCACCCUUCUUUGGUGCUCUGGGGACAGGUAUAUUCAUUGGAUUAGGUGGAACAAUUCUUUACUUGAAAAUAACUGGGACAUUUCUCCGCGAAAUCCAGCGGCUGUCUGCGUCCAUCAGUGAACUGAAACAAGAGGUGAAAGCACUCCAGCAACAGCUGGAAUCUGUAAAGAAGCGUCGACGUAGUCCAGGGUUCUAUUCUGUUCACGCUAGCAGUGGGGACGACGACGAUGAAAUGUUUGAAGACGCAUAUGGAGGGUCAGGAACUGUUAGUUCGCCAAGUGAUCCAGAGUUUGUAGAGUCCUUUCGGGAAUUAAAUGCGGAGGAUAUUGCACCAGGGCAGACAAAUAGACAACAGUCAGUCGAUGAACAGAAAGUCCAAGUUUACGAGCAAGUAGAUCAGCUUCUGGAGGGGGGAGAUGAUGACAAACAAAAUGCCUACACUCUUCUCCUUAAACACAAAUCACAGUUUCUGGGGGAUGCUGACUACCACUGGCGCCUGUCUAAGUGUACGUACCAGGUGGCCCAGAUAGAAGGCAGUGUAGGCAAUGAAGAUAAGAAAAAGGAAAUGGUGUACAGUGCAAAGGACAGUGCAGCCCAGGCCCUGACACUCAACGAAGAUUGUGCCAGUGCCCAUAAAUGGUUUGCAAUUACUGUGGGUAGCAUUGGAGAUUAUGAAGGAACACAGGCAAAAAUAAAAAAUGGAUAUGUAUUCAAGGAACAUAUUGAGCGAGCUAUACAAAUCAAGCCGGAUGAUCCCUCUAGUCACCACCUCCUGGGCCGUUGGUGUUUCGGAGUGUACAUGUUGUCCUGGAUUGAGAGGAAGGCAGCUGCUGCCCUCUAUGCUGCACCACCUACAUCAACCGCUGAUGAGGCUUUACUCAACUUUCAAGAGGCAGAACGACUGAACCCUGGAAAAUGGAAAGAAAAUAUGUUAUUUAUUGCAAAGUGCUACAUAGAACUAAGAAACUAUGUACAGGCUGUUGUCUGGUUAGAAAAGGCCGUCACCAUCCCAGUAGUUAGUCUAGAUGACAAAACCUCUCAGGUAGAAGUGGAGACAUUGCUGGCCAAGUACAGGCAAUAGUCCCAGCAUUCCAAAGUCUGCUGUACGAGAAGUAUGACAAGCAAGGACUCCAGGAUUUUUUGUUUGGCGGAUGACAAUACUGGUGUAGUUAGUAAAACAAUUAUGAAAUGCUCCUAGAUCAAACCUCUUACACAGUAUUUUGCUACAACAUUAGACUGUUUUAUGUGUUAAAGUUCUGGUGAUCUUCGCUUAAACUACAUGGUAUAGGCUUUACCAACGUGGUAUAGGCUUCACCUUCAUGGUAUAGGCUUCACCUACAUGGUAUAGGCUUCACCAACGUGGUAUAGGCUUCACCUUUGUGGUAUAGGCUUCACCUACAUGGUAAAGGCAUUACCUACAUGGUAUAGGCUUCACCUACAUGUUAUAAACUUCACCAACGUGGUAUAGGCUUCACCUUCAGGGUAUAAACUUUACCUACAUGGUAAAGGCAUUACCUACAUGGUAUAGGCUUCACCUUUGUGGUAUAGGCUUCAACUACAUGGUAAAGGCUUCACCCAUCUGGUAUAGGCUUCUCCUUCAUGGUAUAAAUUUUACAUACAUGGUAAAGGCAUUAUCUACAUGGUAUAGGCUUCACCUACUUGGUAUAAACUUUACCUACAUGGUAUAGGCUUCACCUUCAUGGUAUAGGAUUCACAUUUGUGGUAUAACAUUUUCUUACAUGGUAUAGCCUUCAUUUGUGUGGUAUAGGCUUAACCUUUGUGGUAUAUGCUUCACCUACAUGGUAUAAACUUUACCUACAUAAUAUAGACUCCAUUUAUCUAGGCUUCACCAACGUGGUAUAGGCAUCACCUUCAUGGUAUAGGCUUCAUUUACCUAGGCUUCACCAACUUGGUAGUAGGCCACACCUAUUCUUAUUAGAUCAAAGAUGGUCACUGCUGGUAAUCACCUUGUUUGAUAUGGCACAAAAUUGGCACAAAGUUCACCAGAACUUCAACCUCAUACCUGGAAGACUAACUGUUGCAGUAACAUGUUUAUGUAACUAUUGUUAUGAUUAAACAAAAUUCUGUAUAUCAAUCCAUCACUCCUGGUUACAGAACAUAUUUGACAUAUUUUGGGAUUACCAAAUUCCUUUCGAACAUUUUGCUCAAAUUUGGAAUUGACUUGCACAUGUACCACUACAUGCUAAAUUGAUUUUUUUGUACAGUAUGUCUAUAAUAUUCAGGCCAUAAACUACGCAUCUUAGCAAUCAAGUCCAUUAUACAUUGUUCAGUUAUACACGUUAAUUAUUUUUGGUCCGUUUCAAAUGUCUCAAACAGUCAUUUCUUGCCUUGAUAAAUUUACCUGUGAACAAAAUAUUGAUUGAAUGCUUUUAUUCAUCAAUUUGCUUCUAAUUAAAUUUGAAAUAAAAUUUGUUACUAUUAUAUGUGAAAUUGAUAAAACGUAUUGUUCUCCUAACUGUGGCUUGUUUCCUCACCAUUAUGGAUCAAUUUGAUGCCAUUUACCUGUUAAGACCUCAAUUGUACCUCUUAUUUUCAUGAAUUUGUUGCAAGAAAUAUGUGGAAAUGUUAAAAUGGUUGAAUGGGAACAAAUUGUUCAUAUCAAAUGAUUGCAUGUUUUAUUAAUUAGUACAGUAAUAAUAAAAACUGUGUACAUUGUAAUUAAGGAUCGCUGUCCAACUGCUAUAUGCAUUAAUCUCCGGGAUCCCUUUCAUUUUAUUUCGGAUAAAACAGCUGGGCCAGGACACUCCGUUGAUUUGGUAGCUCAGUUGAUGAGAGCGAUAGUAUACAGUCUGAAGCACAGAUUCAGUUCUAGCCUAGCUGAUUUUUUUCACUAAGAACACUGUUCACCCUUAUUAUUUUUUCAUAGUCAUGCAAAGUAUAGUUUUCUUUUCAGGAAUGAUUUAUCAAAGGUAGUCAUUCCCCCCCAAAAAAAUAAAAAAAUCCAAUGCAUAUUUACAAGGCAGUGGUACAGGGAUCUUUAUAUGAGAACCAUGAGCGUUUUGUGUUACUUGUUCGAGCAAUGAGCCAUGUUCAGUAUAUAUACAUUGUAUGUGUUCGAAGUGAGAAAUAUGUGUGUUAUAUAGUAAUGAGAAUUAUGUAGGGUUUAUGUCUUAAGUGUGAGAUCUUUGUAUAUCUGUUCGAAGUGAGAACUAUGUAUGUUAUAUAUAGUAGUGAGAAUUAUGUAGGCUCUCUGUGUUAAGUGUGAGAUCUUUGUACAUCUGUUAGAAGUGAGAACUAGGUAUAUUAUAUAGUAAUGAAAAUUAUGUAGGUUUCAUGUCUUAAGUGUGAGAUCUUUGUAUAUCUGUUUGAAGUGAGAACUAUGUAUGUUAUAUAUAGUAGUUAGAAUUAUGUAGGCUCUCUGUGUUAAGUGUGAGAUCUUUGUACAUCUGUUAGAAGUGAGAACUAUGUAUGUUAUAUAGUAAUGAGAAUUAUGUAUGUUCUUUGUGAUAGGUGUGAGAUCUUUGUACAUCUGUUAGAAGUGAGAACUAUGUAUGUUAUAUAGUAAUGAGAAUUAUGUAGGUUUUACCGGGGUAUGUGUUAAAAAUGAGAUCUUUGUACAUCUGUUAGAAGUGAGAACUAUGUAUAUUAUAUAGUAGUGAAAAUUAUGUAGGUUUUACCGGGGUAUGUGUUAAAAAUGAGAUCUUUGUACAUCUGUUAGAAGUGAGAACUAUGUUUAUUAUUUAGUAAUGAGAAUUAUGUAGGUUUUAUGUCUUAAGUGUGAGAUCUUUGUAUAUCUGUUCGAAGUGAGAACUAUGUAUGUUAUAUAUAGUAGUUAGAAUUAUGUAGGCUCUCUGUGUUAAGUGUGAGAUCUUUGUACAUCUGUUAGAAGUGAGAACUAGGUAUAUUAUAUAAUAGUGAGAAUUAUGUAGGUUUUAAUGUCUUAAGUGCGAGAUCUUUGUAUAUCUGUUUGAAGUGAGAACUAUGUAUGUUAUAUAGUAGUGAGAAUUAUGUAGGUUUUAUGUCUUAAGUGUGAGAUCUUUGUAUAUUUGUUUUGAAGUGAGAACUAUGUAUAUUAUAUAGUAGUGAGAAUUAUGUAGGUUUUAUGUCUUAAGUGUGAGAUCUUUGUAUAUUUGUUUUGAAGUGAGAACUAUGUAUAUUAUAUAGUAGUGAGAAUUAUGUAGGUUUUAUGUCUUAAGUGUGAGAUCUUUGUAUAUUUGUUUUGAAGUGAGAACUAUGUAUAUUAUAUAGUAGUGAGAAUUAUGUAGGUUUUAUGUCUUAAGUGUGAGAUCUUUGUAUAUUUGUUUUGAAGUGAGAACUAUGUAUAUUAUAUAGUAGUGAGAAUUAUGUAGGUUUUAUGUCUUAAGUGUGAGAUCUUUGUAUAUUUGUUUUGAAGUGAGAACUAUGUAUAUUAUAUAUAGUAGUGAGAAUUAUGUAGGCUCUCUGUCUUAAGUGUGAGAUUUUUGUACAUCUGUUAGAAGUGAGAACUGUGUAUGUUAUAUAGUAGUGAGAAUUAUGUAGGUUUUACCGGGGUAUGUGUUAAAAAUGAGAUCUUUGUACAUCUGUUAGAAGUGAGAACUAUAUAGAUUUCAUAGUGUAUUAGAAUUGGAGGUGAUCAAUGAGAGAACCCAAUAUAGUAUGUCUGUGCCAUCAGAGCCAUACUUUAUUAUCUGGUUGGAUAUUCCAUUACCAGGUAUAUGUUUACUCUAUAGGACAACUAGAAAAUAUGUUCAACAGUUUGAAACUGCAUGUACAUUGCACACUUAUAUUAAAAAGAGGAAAAUGUUAAAAUAUAAAUGUAAUCAGGUAGAGAACAGGAUGUGUAAUUCCGUAAAGUCUCAGCAUGCUAUUUUGUAAAUUGUCAAUAGUGCAGGAUCCCUGAUUUACAAUAAGAUCAAUUGAUUGACAAACAUUAGUAUAAUAUUUCAAUAUUUAAGGAUUGAGAUGCAUCUAGUGUUAACUUUUAUGAUGGUAUGCAAUCAUUUAAAAAUAUUCCAUGAUGUGCAGUAACACUGUAAAAAUAUGUACUUACAAUGAAGAACACUAAAAUCUGUACUUCAUUGGAUAAACUUACAAUGUACUACAUGUACAUGGUAUAUAUAUAUUAUAAUGCACUACACUGUGCACUUACAAUGUAAUACACUAUAUAUAUACACCUACAAUGUGCUAUGUUAUACAUUUACAAUUCAUUUCAGUACAAUGCUUUACCAUUUAAAACAAGAGACCCAAGAGCUUUAGCGGUCACAUGAGUUAUAUCAUAGGUACUGGAAGCUUUAUUUUAUUGUUUAGAUGUGAUGUGGAAGGCAGCAUGUAAACUAAGUG
rnacentral:misc_RNA from 1 species